AACGAACGCUUGCGGCGCGCCUAAUACAUGCAAGUCGAACGAACCAGCAAUGGUGAGUGGCGCACGGGUGAGUAACGCGUGGAUAAUCUGCCCUCUACUGGGGAAUAACUAACCGAAAGGUUAGCUAAUACCGCAUGAGACCACGAUCCCUGAGGGGAAUGAGGUUAAAGAUUUAUCGGUAGAGGAUGAGUCUGCGUGGGAUUAGCUAGUUGGUGGGGUAACGGCCGUACCAAGGCUACGAUCUCUAACAGGUCUGAGAGGAUGACCUGUCACACUGGAACUGAGACACGGUCCAGACUCCUACGGGAGGCAGCAGUAGGGAAUAUUGCGCAAUGGGCGAAAGCCUGACGCAGCGACGCCGCGUGAGUGAUGAAGGCCUUAGGGUCGUAAAGCUCUGUUGUACGGGAAGAAAAAUGACGGUACCGUAUAAGAAAGGAUCGGCUAACUUCGUGCCAGCCGCCGCAGUAAG
rnacentral:rRNA from 1 species